CGCGGGGCGCUGCGUGUGGAGCUGCCGGCGGGCCGGAGCGGCGCAGCCCUGAGGAGGAGGGCGUUUUCGGGGAGGACGGCCAGGGGAGCGGAGACAUUGCCCCGAGCAUCUUCUGACAAGCUUGAAACUAAGUUGAGGAGACUAGAGCGGACUGGUGACCAAGUCGGCUUCUCUGCGAUCCACAGCGGGGACCCGUUCUUAGAUGACUUUCAGGCUUGAUGGAUUGCCCACAAUCUAGGAUUGCCCAUGUUUUGAAGCGUGUGAGGAGCGCAUCACCGUACGGCCUUGGAGGAGUGCUUCGCUGCCUGGUUCUUUUGGAGCACUUCAUCGUUUGGCUUUUCCAGAGUGUUUCAUUGUGUGGCUUUUCUUUGGAGUGCCAAAAUGCCCGGUGUAGCGAACUGGGAGUGUAGCGGAGUGCAUCACCGCGUCGCCCUGGAGGAGUGCAUCAGCAUUUGGUAUUUUGGGAGCUGUUUGCUGUUUGUUUGUUUUUUGGGAGCUCUCCAUCCCAGCCCUUUUUUGGAGCCUUCUGGGCCUCGGUUGUUUGGAACUCUCUACCCCAGGAUUUUUGGGAGCACUCCAGCCUGGAGAUUUUUUAGAUCUCUCCACCGUGUUUUUUUUCGGAGCACUUCACUGUUUGGAUAUUUUGGAGCUCUCCAGCGCGGGGUUUUUUGGGAGCUCUCCACCGUGGGGUUUUUUGGGAGCUCUCCACCCCGGGGCUCUUUGGAGCACUUCACCAUUUUGAUUUUGAGAGCCCUUUCAGGUUUGGUUUUUUUGUCUGGAAUUCUACAACAUCUGGCGUUUUUGGAGUGCUUCACUGCACCGCCCUGCUGGAGUGCUUCACCGCCACCCGGCCGGAGUGCUUCACCGCGUGGCCCUGGAGGAGUGCAUCAGCAUUUAGCUUUGUGGGAGCCGUUCACCAUUUGGUUUUU